UAGUUCCAAGGAAGAAUAUACAAGCUUAAUGCAAAUCUGAUGCAGAUUAAUUGCUCUACUUGCUCAGUCAUUUUUGAUGCAAUGGAAACACUGCACAUAUGCUCACUCAGUG